UACGAAGGGGGCUAGCGUUGCUCGGAAUCACUGGGCGUAAAGCGCACGUAGGCGGCUUGCUAAGUCAGGGGUGAAAUCCUGGAGCUCAACUCCAGAACUGCCCUUGAUACUGGCGGUCUCGAGUCCGGGAGAGGUGAGUGGAACUGCGAGUGUAGAGGUGAAGUUCGUAGAUAUUCGCAAGAACACCAGUGGCGAAGGCGGCUCACUGGCCCGGUACUGACGCUGAGGUGCGAAAGCGUGGGGAGCAAACAGG
rnacentral:rRNA from 1 species